rfam:Dipodomys ordii contig_19103, whole genome shotgun sequence.
GGUGGCUCAGCAGUAGAGUGCUUGCCUUGCAUGCAUGAGGCCCUGGGUUCAAUUCCUCAGCACCA